GGGGAGCGGGGAGAAGGAGGAAACGGCCAGUGCAAGUAAAGCGCUCCCCGCCGAGGCCUGGACGCCGGCAGCCAGUGUGCUCUUACCAGCAUGACCAGUUUACUACAGAAGAAACUGAAGUUUGGAGGUUUAUAAAUGACUUGUCCAAGUCAACAACACAAGCACGUCAAAAAUACAAUUGGCCAAAAGAUGGAGGAAGACAUCAGAAUUAUCUUCAUGUAAGACCAGUUGAAUUUCACGGUCAAACCACUUUGGAGAAAACCUCCACAGCUCCAGGGCUCUUCCUGGAUGUGAACAAGGAAGGAUGCAGUUCUGGUUGCUGCUGGCAGCUGGCUUGCGAUCAUGAGAUCAGCCAGCCUGAAGACUAAGCCAUAU